AGAGUUUGAUCCUGGCUCAGAGCGAACGCUGGCGGCGUGCUUAACACAUGCAAGUCGAACGAGGUUUGUAGCAAUACAAAUACUCGUGGCGAACGGGUGCGUAACACGUGGAUAACCUUCCUUCAGGUGGGGAAUAACCCAGUGAAAAUUGGGCUAAUACCGCAUAACAUGACGGGGGCACAUGCUCUUGUCUUCAAAGGCGCAAGUCGCCAGAAGAGGGAUCCGCGGCCGAUUAGCUUGUUGGCGAGGUAAUGGCUCACCAAGGCAUUGAUCGGUAGCCGGACUGAGAGGUUGGCCGGCCACACUGGAACUGAGACACGGUCCAGACUCCUACGGGAGGCAGCAGUGGGGAAUCUUGCACAAUGGACGAAAGUCUGAUGCAGCAACGCCGCGUGGGGGAUGAAGCUUCUCGGAGUGUAAACCCCUUUCGACCCGGACGAACGCCCGCAAGGGCUUGACGGUACGGGUAUAAGAAGCCCCGGCUAACUACGUGCCAGCAGCCGCGGUAAAACGUAGGGGGCCAGCGUUGCUCGGAAUUACUGGGCGUAAAGGGUCCGUAGGCGGUGUGGCAAGUCGGUAGUGAAAUCUCUGGGCUUAACCCAGAGGCUGCUGCCGAAACUGCUGUGCUAGAGUGUGAGAGAGGCGAGUGGAAUUACGGGUGUAGCGGUGAAAUGCGUAGAUAUCCGUAGGAACAUCCGAGGCGAAAGCGGCUCGCUGGAUCACAACUGACGCUGAGGGACGAAAGCUAGGGGAGCAAACAGGAUUAGAUACCC
rnacentral:rRNA from 1 species